rnacentral:rRNA from 1 species
CGUAUGCAGUCCGAAGCAGUCAUCUAAUUUGGACGAAAGGUAUAUUCUAUCGGUAAUGGAUGGGGAUGCGUCCGAUUAGCCAGCCGGCGGGGUAACGGCCCACCGGGGCAUUGAUCGGUAGGGGUUCUGAGAGGAAGGUCCCCCACACUGGAACUGAGACACGGUCCAGACUCCUACGGGAGGCAGCAGUGAGGAAUAUUGGUCAAUGGGCGUAAGCCUGAACCAGCCAAGUAGCGUGCAGGAUGACGGCCCUAUGGGUUGUAAACUGCUUUUAUGCGGGGAUAAAGUUGGGGACGUGUCCCUUUUUGCAGGUACCGCAUGAAUAAGGACCGGCUAAUUCCGUGCCAGCAGCCGCGGUAAUACGGAAGGUCCGGGCGUUAUCCGGAUUUAUUGGGUUUAAAGGGAGCGUAGGCAGUUUUUUAAGCGUGCUGUGAAAUGUACCGGCUCAACCGGUGAUGUGCAGCGCGAACUGGGAAUCUUGAGUACGCAGUAAGCAGGCGGAAUUCGUGGUGUAGCGGUGAAUGCUUAGAUAUCAC